GAAUCAAGUGACGAGAACAUUCUGCAACAAAAUGAUGAGUUAUUUCAUGAUUUUGGCUUAUAAGUCUCUGAUGAUA